ensembl:snoRNA SCARNA8 small Cajal body-specific RNA 8
UGGGAGGCUGAUACACAGGUAGAGCAGAAUUAUUGCUCUAGUUGUCACAAGCUCUCCCAAGAUAAAACUGCCUUUUGAUGACCGGGACGAAUUGAGAGAAAUCGUAACGGACAGAUACGGGGCAGAUAUAA